rnacentral:rRNA from 1 species
CAAGUCGAACGGCAGCGCGGGGCAACCUGGCGGCGAGUGGCGAACGGGUGAGUAAUAUAUCGGAACGUACCCUGGAGUGGGGGAUAACGUAGCGAAAGUUACGCUAAUACCGCAUACGAUCUAAGGAUGAAAGUGGGGGAUCGCAAGACCUCAUGCUCCUGGAGCGGCCGAUAUCUGAUUAGCUAGUUGGUGGGGUAAAGGCCUACCAAGGCAUCGAUCAGUAGCUGGUCUGAGAGGACGACCAGCCACACUGGAACUGAGACACGGUCCAGACUCCUACGGGAGGCAGCAGUGGGGAAUUUUGGACAAUGGGCGAAAGCCUGAUCCAGCAAUGCCGCGUGAGUGAAGAAGGCCUUCGGGUUGUAAAGCUCUUUUGUCAGGGAAGAAACGGUGGGGGCUAAUAUCCCUUGCUAAUGACGGUACCUGAAGAAUAAGCACCGGCUAACUACGUGCCAGCAGCCGCGGUAAUACGUAGGGUGCAAGCGUUAAUCGGAAUUACUGGGCGUAAAGCGUGCGCAGGCGGUUUUGUAAGUCUGUCGUGGAAUCCCCGGGCUCAACCUGGGAAUUGCGAUGGAGACUGCAAGGCUAGAAUCUGGCAGAGGGGGGUAGAAUUCCACGUGUAGCAGUGAAAUGCGUAGAGAUGUGGAGGAACACCGAUGGCGAAGGCAGCCCCCUGGGUCAAGAUUGACGCUCAUGCACGAAAGCGUGGGGAGCAAACAGGAUUAGAUACCCUGGUAGUCCACGCCCUAAACGAUGUCUACUAGUUGUCGGGUUUUAAUUAACUUGGUAACGCAGCUAACGCGUGAAGUAGACCGCCUGGGGAGUACGGUCGCAAGAUUAAAACUCAAAGG